ACAUUGAAAUCAAUCAAUAUGAUUCAUAUCAAAAAUUCAAUACAUUCGAUCAUAGAUCAUUUAAUAUUUCAAAAAAAUGAUAAAUUUGGUAAUUCAAACUACAUGCAUCAAAUUCAUAUAUCAUAAAUAAUCUAAUAUAAAAAAAUUAUAAAUUACUGAUAAAUCUAGAAAAAGUAUAACAUUACUUAUCUUGCAAAUGAAACUAAUCAAUUAAUCAAAUUAAUUUUGAGAAUCCCUCUCAGAACUCAUCACCACUGCA
rnacentral:lncRNA from 1 species